GGAGCCUGUGGCACUGUGGUGAUUGGGCAGUGGAGCCUGUGAUGGUUAAGGAAACUGGAGAAAGCAACAGUGAAUACCAUGAUGAAAGUUCCCUUAUAUUUAGCUAAACUGUUGACAGUGAUCUCGACUGACAGACUGAAGCAGCAACAAAUGCAGUGAGGCAAGAACUGAUAAAGGAAAAGAGCCACAAGGACAAAAAACGAAGAUCAUACGGGGUUGUGACCAAUCUGCCUUCCAGAACUGCAGAUGGCUUCAAUUGAAAUCUG